UAUAAGCAGUUGAUGACAGUCUGGCUCUGAAUUCAGUAUGGGUUGCAAGUGUUUGUUGGCUCGGUGUAAGAAUUUGACAGGUUGGCACUGGUUCCCCCGUGAUGCUGACAAAGCUAGAUUGUGGCUGCAGGCGGUGGGAUCCCCAUCAACUUUCGACACAUCAAGAUUGUUUGUGUGUAACAAGCAUUUUUCACGGGAGAGCUUUUAUAGACAUGAGGACUUUGAAGACACUGAACAAAGUUUCAAAUACCUUUCCAUCCCUACAGGGCAGCAGUUUCACUUUAGCUGCUGGCUGGAAAUAUUGAAAUUUUGCCCAGUGACUACAGCUGAAGGAGGAAGUCCAAAUAUGGUCAUUGGUGAGAUGAAUUUAUCGUGAAGUCGAACAACAAGCAGCCACGCUUCUGGGGUCUUCACACAGUCAGAUCAGAAAUGGCUAUUCAGAGUAAAUGUAGCUUCACUGUUUUAGUCAUGUGAAACAUUAAAUAAUGUAACAGUUUUUGUUAAUAAAUGUUAUUAUAAAGUGAUAAUAAUGUCUUAUAGUGAAGAAUUGUAUAGGUUGUUUUUGAACUUGAAAAAACAAAAAAAUGUGUUCAACAGUUAUAUUUUGUUGGAAAUGUAACAGGUUGUUCAUAAAUUGUAGUGACAUUAACAUUUCAAAUGAAGGAUUUAUUAUGAUUUAUCAUUUAUUAUGAUUUAAGAUUUUUUAAAUAUUUAUUAAAUCAAAUGUUAAAAUGCCUGUAGUUUAAAAUAUGCUUUAUAAAUCAAGCAAUGGUUUAAAAUAAUCUUAACAUAAUUAAAUCAGCUGACACAUCUUAAUGAGGCCUUAAAGAAAGCUAUUCUUGUUUUUGAUAUUAGUUUUUGAUCUGUCUGCUCUCCCAUCAUAGUUAUGAAUAAACAUGUAAUACAUUUUUUUUUUUUAACAUAAUAUAUAACUUUAAUAUGUGUAAUAUAUCUUUAAUAUAUUUCUAAAUGAACCAUAUAUAAGCUUUUCCAACAUUUGAAGUGAAAUCGACUGAUUGUUCUCUUUACAUAAUUUUUUGUUUUCUUGUUUUAGGAAGCAACAGAAAUUCCAAGAUAUUGAAUGUAUUGUGUUCCUUAUGUUUCAGGCUAUAAAUUUAGCUUGUGUGGUGUUUUCUCAUGAGUGUAUCUUACCAACAUCAAUUAUUCAAAUCUUUGUGGAAAGCUUGUAUUACAAAUGCAUAUUUUCAAUAAAAAAGACUUGAAGAUCUUUAA